rnacentral:rRNA from 1 species
AAAUUGAAGAGUUUGAUCAUGGCUCAGAUUGAACGCUGGCGGCAGGCCUAACACAUGCAAGUCGAACGGUAACAGGAAGCAGCUUGCUGCUUCGCUGACGAGUGGCGGACGGGUGAGUAAUGUCUGGGAAACUGCCUGAUGGAGGGGGAUAACUACUGGAAACGGUAGCUAAUACCGCAUAAUGUCGCAAGACCAAAGAGGGGGACCUUCGGGCCUCUUGCCAUCGGAUGUGCCCAGGUGGGAUUAGCUUGUUGGUGGGGUAACGGCUCACCAAGGCGACGAUCCCUAGCUGGUCUGAGAGGAUGACCAGCCACACUGGAACUGAGACACGGUCCAGACUCCUACGGGAGGCAGCAGUGGGGAAUAUUGCACAAUGGGCGCAAGCCUGAUGCAGCCAUGCCGCGUGUAUGAAGAAGGCCUUCGGGUUGUAAAGUACUUUCAGCGGGGAGGAAGGGAGUAAAGUUAAUACCUUUGCUCAUUGACGUUACCCGCAGAAGAAGCACCGGCUAACUCCGUGCCAGCAGCCGCGGUAAUACGGAGGGUGCAAGCGUUAAUCGGAAUUACUGGGCGUAAAGCGCACGCAGGCGGUUUGUUAAGUCAGAUGUGAAAUCCCCGGGCUCAACCUGGGAA